rnacentral:rRNA from 1 species
UACGUAGGGUGCGAGCGCUAAUCGGAAUUACUGGGCGUAAAGCGUGCGCAGGCGGUUUUGUAAGCCAGAUGUGAAAUCCCCGGGCUUAACCUGGGAAUGGCAUUUGGGACUGCAAGGCUUGAGUGCGGCAGAGGAGACUGGAAUUCCUGGUGUAGCAGUGAAAUGCGUAGAUAUCAGGAGGAACACCGAUGACGAAGGCAGGUCUCUGGGCUGACACUGACGCUCAUGCACGAAAGCGUGGGGAGCAAACAGG